CUACCUUUCCGCAUACUCUGAACAGUUGCCUGCGAAAGAGGAACUGGGGACUUAACUAAUUCAGGCUGCUUCCAUUCAAGUGUUCCAGAGGGCACAUGCGCAUCCAAAUAGACUUCUCUUUGCUCUUUGGAGCUUAUAAAGGAGCAGGCAUCUGAAACUGCACCCUGAAGCUCUAUUCCAGAAAUGUUCCUGAACAAGUUGCCUGUCGGGGCAAGCUUCAAAAGGGAUAUUUAAAUGGCCAACCCCAUUCAUACCGUGAGCCAGGAAAGGAAAAUAAAUCUGUUGAAGAAUCUUAAGAGCCAAAUCUUCUGAGCCUAGGCCUACUGCUGUCAGCAACUCUAAGACCUCCUUCAUCUGAGAAUUACCAGGUCUGACAACACUUUCCCUCCAGCCUACAGUGAGGGACGUCAACAAAGCUGUAGAAAACUCACAUCCUCUAGACUUACAACCCUCAAGCUGUGCAGCUGGGCAGGAACUUUACAAUCUCUAUCCUUAAGGAAGAUUCAGAAAGACAGACAAGAGGGGUGAAAAGUCAGAUAUGCUGAACCUGAAAUAUACAAAAGCCUUUAGAAUGUUUCCUUGUGGAAGAAACCAAUUAAAUCCACGUCAUUAGUCCACACAUCUAGAUGUGCUAUAGGCAAAACAUAGUCUUUUCUUCCUCUACUAAACAGAGUAAAAGUCUGAUAUAAUACACUAAGAGAUUCUUGUCCCAGUAACAGUAUUAUAAAGCAAUU